CAGAUCUUGGCCCUGGUGGCGGUGUACUACCUCCACGAAGGACUUCCCAAUCACUGCAGGAAGGCAUGGAAAUCCCCAUCACCUCCCAAUGUCUGUGAGUAGGACCACUGCAGAUGGGCCUACACUGUACAAAAAUAAAACUACGAAGAAAGUUGGUCGACACACGGGGGUUUCAACGGGGCUCCUCGAAGAUCUCUGCACAUGGAUCUCCCGCCUGGAAGUUUACAAAUUUGACGACGUUAAAGCCUGGAAAAUUUGCAUGUUCUCCCCGUGUUCACAAGGGGUUUCCUCCAAAAAUAACCCCAACAGAAAAAACAUGCAAAAACAGAACAUUCUCCUGUCCGUCCGUGACCGAGACGGACGGUUCACUUGGUCCCCGGGCGCUGAGAAGCUGCCCACUGCUCCUGGGGGCCAACAUAUGAUGAUUGCAUAUGAAAUUGGAUCUGCAGCUGAGGUUUUUGCGAAAGCCAAAACACUUGUGCAGCCGCAGGUUGUGAAGAAAAAGCAAUAUCCACUGGCAGCUAAACAGUCAAAGCCUGCGCAUAUUAAGGUUAGAAAAGUAUUUUCUGAGCCUCAAUAUACACAAUAUUAGGUCAAGAAACAAAAGGUGUCUCAGUGAAAUGUAUUAGGUCAGAUAGAAUGUAUUCUUUCUUUUUCUUAAACUUAAGUUAAAA
ensembl:lncRNA